AACGUAGACAUUGCCGGCGUGGGACAAAUUGUCCGUUCUUAUCAGCUUAAUAUCUGAUACGGGUUAUACUUGGAUCCAAAAUAUAAAACAUUAUUUUUGCAAGUUCGCGGAGAGCUUGAAGCUUGCUUCACCUCCGCCGCGGGUAGGCCCAGCAAUGAACUAUCUCCGGGAUCGGCCGACGGUUU